ensembl:lncRNA
GGAGAUUUUAAUGAGAACCAGUUACAGAGUGGAAGAAAACAGAUUCUGGAGCAGUUUCAGUCGAGAGGGUAUUCACAGCUGAUCACUUCUGCCACUACAGACAAGAACACCCUGCUUGACCUCAUUUUUAUUUCUCAGCCACAGCACAGUCUCCAUUCAGGUGUCCUGAGGACAUAUUACAGUUACCACAACCCUGUGUUUUGUGUCCUGUCCUCCAGCCAAUCAUGAAGUCGUCUGAUGUAUUUUUUUCAGACAGGGCACACACAGUCCUGUUUCCUUUGUGGGAAAACCUUCAAACUUCACCAUCCUCAGCUGAAACAACAACAUCUUAACACCAUCUUCAUGAACUGUUGAGCCAAACCUGAUCCAUCAGUGCUGGACUGCACAGAUAACUACAUGCCACAAGGAGACUGCUGUGUUAUGAACUGCCAUACCAGUGUGUCUUCAAUGGAGAAGAUGACACACCCAUCACCUGACCUCCUGCCUGAUCUGGAGACCAUCAUCAUGCUGCCACACUACACACCUCUGAGACCCUCAAUGAUGACUGAUACUGAGGAAACUGUAUUUCCUGUCAGAGAUGCUCAGUGAUCCUCAGAGCAGAGAGAGGUACUGCUGUCUCCUGAGUUCUUCAGUGUCCCAACUGAGACAUUCAAACCUCAUUGCAGAGCUCAUGCCUUUCCUCACCAUCAUGUGAGUGUGAGAUUGCUCUGGAUUCUGGUUAUGUGGCCUGCAGCACCUAUAAGAACAAGCUCGUACAGUGUGCCUGCAUUCCAGCUUCUUAGACUCUCACGUAAGUGGACAGUAUCAGUGUUUGGCCGCUCUUACAGACACCGACUUCUGUCAACUCACUGCUACUGAUCAGGCACCUCACUUCAGGAAGACAGAGGGCUGCAAGCCUGUCAUCGUUUCCAGUGUGGCUUUGAAUUCUUGGGGUAGUAUCAGAUUUUUC